GUGGGGGCGGGGCGUGGUGGUGGUUCAUUGUUGGACCGGGUUGUUGCAUUAUAAAAACAAGGCGUACAGAAAUACUUUAGUGGGUUCACCAGGGGAAAGAAAGAAGAAAUUGAAAGUUAAUUGACAAUAGAGUUUUCUUCAAGCCUUGCAGGGGCUCUUCCUUGAUCAUUAUUGGAUUUGUUCUGGCUUUAAGAACAAAUGAAUUUAUUAACUUCUACAGGUUCUGAUUCUCGAAUCAUUUAAAUAAUUAUUGUCAUUCAACUUCAAUUUUCCGCUAUUUCAAGUACUGGGUCUCUAAAGGUGGAAGAAGUUCUAGACAAUAGCAAUCAGGCAAUUUGUUUACUCUGUUGGUGGUAAAGUUCUUGUUUUUCUCUGAAAGAUAUUUUACAUUUUCCAAGAACUGUACAUGUGACAUUUGGGGAUUGAAAAGAAGAAGGAAAAAGCCUCAUAAGUUGCUUCUGAUA